rnacentral:rRNA from 1 species
GACAGAGGUGCCGAGCGUUAGGCGGAAUCACUGGGCUUAAAGCGUGUGUAGGCGGGUCGUUAAGUGUCUUGUGAAAUCCCCCGGCUCAACCGGGGAAUGGCUGGGCAUACUGGCGAUCUUGAGCAGUCUAGGGGCAGAUGGAACAAGUGGUGGAGCGGUGAAAUGCGUAGAUAUCAUUUGGAACGCCAACGGCGAAAGCAGGCAACUGGGGGUGUACCGACGCUGAGACACGAAAGCCAGGGGAGCGAACGGG